rnacentral:lncRNA from 1 species
AUUUGGAGACAGAUGGCGGGCUUCUAAAUGCUGCAAGUACAGGAAGAUUUGUGCAUCCCCAGUUUAGACUGUGGCUCAUAACCAAAAGUGACAGGACUCACUCAGUCCCAGUUGCUGUUAGGAUUAGAGCCCUGCACUUGGUGUGUGAUUCCUCCUGGGACCUGAAGGAUGAAUUGUGGUCUUCAGUAAAACAGACACUCCCCUUUUCCUCUCAUGAAGACACUGUGAACACUCGGUGUGCUGUCCUGCACUCUGUCCUGCAGCAGAGACAAACAUUCAAACACCUGGGCCAAGCGCAGCUUUACCUUUGGACUCAAGAAGAUCUACUUGCUCUGAUUGAUGCACAUCACCGCAUAACCAAACACUGUAGUGACCCUACCGGAGCAUUGGAGUACAUAGCAGGUCACCUGGUUUAUGGGAGCCACGUGUCAGACCAUGAAGAUCUAGCAGCUGUGCAGAGUGUGAUUAGGGCAUGUCUAAGAGAUCCGUCAACAUUAUGGGGGCGUGGCAAAGACAUUCUCUCAAAUAUCCUUAACUUUACAGGAAGAUUUGAAGCUGGUGGCCUGUUGAAAGACCUGAGACAUUGUAUUCAGUGCAUAACUAGCAGUACAGACCCAUUCAUUCUGGGCUUUAGUCCAGGUAUGGCA